rfam:Absidia glauca strain CBS 101.48 genome assembly, contig: contig_6266
AUUCUUGUGCUCGGGCAUAACCAUGCAAGUGAGGUCUCGACUGAUGCUGGUUUAUUGCUGGUUGAAAACUAUAACCAAUACCCGUCUAUUCAUCCUCGUGGUGUAUAGCAAUUUUUUGCGACCCUUGUGGU